UGCCGUCCAUCUAUCCUAGCUAGAGGAGGAGAAUAAUGCAGAUCCUGUGCUGCGCCCUCUGUUCCCUGUGUCCCGUUUAAUUCGUGUUCGUCGAUCGUUUAGUGUCUUAGCAGCUGUAUUGUGUGUGGGUAAUGGUAUUGCUACUAUUGGUGCCAGGAGGCUUACUGUAAAACCACAAUAAUUGUGAUGGAAAUGCAAGUGAAAGCUAGUAUUUUUACCGUCUUCUGCUCUUCUCACUGCAUAGCGCGUUCUCCAUUUUCCUGGACGUGACGAGAUGUGAUGUUUCCAUGUCAGAGAUGCUCCGUGUACACAGUAGUGGCCUAUAUGAGGAACACUCUGCUGGUCACCUCCACUGGAACCCAAUCCUCUGCUUGCGUUUGUGCGGCAGCAAGCGUGCAUGCCUGCUAGUCUGCGGCGACGUGAGCUAGCUGUCACGCGCUGCUACAGUCUCGCUUGACGCCUAGUGCCACAGCACGGUUCUGCUUCUCUGCCCUCAAAGAUUCCGGAGAAAUAAAUGCGUCUAGGUGCAUUCCAGUCUACGUACACAGCCGUGCCUUGAUGAAAGUUAACUCGCUGUCUCGCUCAUCUAGCAAACUGUUACUACUACAUCACAACUAAGGGUCUGUUUAGUUCCCCAAAAUCCCAACUUUGGCAGAAUGUAAAAAGAAAAUUCUCCAUCCCAUCAAACUUGCGGUACAUGUAUGGAGUAAUAAAUGUAGAUGAAAUAAAAAACUAAUUGCACAGUUGUGUUGUACUUUGCGAGACGAAUCUUUUGAGCCUAAUUAGUCAAUGUUUGGACAAUAAUUCACAAAUACAAACGAAAUGCUACAGUUGUGCAUUUAUAGCAAAAUGUCAAUUUUACCACUCCCAAAUUGGGAACUAAACAAGACCUAAUUAUUUUCUGUGGUAGUACAAACCUAUAUCCCAGGGGUUACCAGAGCUUGCAAAAGUUACUAGGCAGCCAGCCCAGCAAUUAGCUCAGAAACAUCACAUUGUUGCAACCUCAGUGAAAACUGCUACGAGCCUACGACAGUGUGCGAGCGAGGGUCAGGACGUAAAUUUCCCAAUCACAUGAUUAGCGCGUGGAGCCAAGAGAAAGCAGACAAAAGCACUAGUAUUUUUCUUUUCUUCUUGGGACAAAAUAAACAAGAACGUUAUGGAUCCGUACUUAGUAGAGUAAUUACUAAUUAGGCAUGUGCUGACGGCAGUUAACACGUCGAUUUAUGCAGUUGUAACUCUUUCCUUAGAGUAAUCCCCUAAGGUUUAUCAAUCAGUGGAAGAAGUGGAUUUGCACGCUUAACUAAGCACUAAUCUAUAUAACAGAAGGUUCUUUGUAUAUGAUAAGAUUGAUCUAACAAAAGAACUAGUGACUUAGAUUAAAGCAGAUAGAGAGUAUGAAUGUAAAUAAGAUAGAUAAAAUGCUUGUCCUAGGGAUCUAAGAUCACUUGUAGAUGUAAUCAUCAUGCAUGAAAGUACUGGAUCUAAGUGUUAUUGCGAGUGGAUGUGAAUCAUGCCUAACACUUUCCCUCUUGCACGUUGACACUACACGAGGGUAUUCAAAUAUUGAACGAUAAGAACACGGCUUGAUGAUCAUUCUAGUUAAGCAAAUAAGCAACCCAAAUUAGUUGGCCAUCCAUUACAUGAAGAAGCAUCAUCAAGAUAUGGUAAAUAGCAAACAGAUCUUAAACAAGAGGUUCAGCGAUUACAAAUCAAGAUCUCCAUAUAACCCCGAGCACAAAUAGAAAUUUUACCCCAUGAUCUUACACAUGUUGACAUAAUUCUAGGUAAAAAUCGUCCCGUAGAUCAACUGGAUCAAAGACGACGACGACGAACGGGGGCAGAAAAGCCCUAAGCCGAUCAGCCUGAGCACCUCCAAGCCGAUCGGCUUGGGAGGUUCCUUCCUCCUCUGGUGCUCCGCUUCAUGUGGUUUUACGUAGAUCCAAUUUUCUCUCCAUUUUUCCUCCUUGUGGCGGCGGUGGAUGGUGUUUACGUGGUGCUUUCUCCUCUCUCUCCCCUUCUCCCUUCCUUGAAGUCCAUGAGAGGGUAUUUAUAGUAACUCAUAGACGGCGGCUCUGGGUCAAUGUCGAUGAAAAAACCCUAGACAUCAUCGUAAACUUCACGCUCAGGAAACGGGAGGUCAAUCGGGACCCUGGAAUGGGCCAGGCCGGUCAGCCUAGAGGCUCCUAGGGCGAUUGGCCUGGACCCUUCCUGACCCUUCUUGUCCUCUCAUUCCUCGUGCUAGCUUCCCUCAACGACCCAUGUCCAAAUAUCCAUUAAGCUCUUUUAUGCAAACUUCUUUAUUAUGUCGUAUUUCAUGUCACAAUGCAAUAUACUCCAAAAUACAACACAUAUGCAAUAAUGGGGUUAUUUCAUGUGCCAAGUGGCGGGUUAGUAUAAGAUUAAGCAUGAAAACACUAAUUAAAUAGCACUGUCAAUGACGAGUGUCAACAACAUGGUGAUGUUUGUGUUAGACCAUGCUUUUAUGUUAUCCGUUUGCUCUAGCCACGUUAUAGACCCUAGUAAAAAGAAGAUAAGGAUCCGAUGAUGCAUGACAGUAUUAUGUAAGGGAGAUAUCAUCAAGCUAACAGGAGGCCCUAGAUGGGAAUAUCUUAAUAAGUUGAAAUGCUUAUUUUGUUUAUGAAAAGACAAGUAAUAUUGCGAUCUAGAUAUCUAAAGGCCAGAUUUUGGAACGUGAAAUAUCAUCUCCUAUGCAUUCUUUUAACCUGAUUCAAAGCUAAGAACAUAGUAUCAUUAAACGCAACGCGCACAUGUUCAUGCAAGUGCUGGAUUGGUCUCCAUGUGGCGAAGUCGCUCUCGUACUUUCAGAAACUAAUCAUAUUUCGACACAGUUAGCACAGUAGUACACCACAUUAACGUGGAUUUACGCCGCUCACGGUCAUCUCGAGUUCGCACGGAUGGAGACAUCUUUUUCCUAUGGCCAUAUGCUCACAUGGGCAUGUCGAUGAGUGUCACUGUGUCAGAGAUAGUUAAGUUGAGAAAAGAGAGCUUUGCCGCGCCUUACGGCUUUACCAUACUUCUCGCACUGCAAAAGGAUACACACAUGCAAAAGCAGAACGAACAUGAUAAAGAACAUACCGAUGCAAAAAAAAACAAAUAGAGAAAAGAAAAUUUAUUGAUCGAGUUGACGUGAGAAACUUGAUUUCGCUGGAUAAGCCAAAAGGAUUGAAAACCGAGUUAAUAUAAUUCAGAGGUAUAAAUUUUAUGCAAAUUUAUCUGAAUUUCUCUUACUUAGGCGCAAAUUUAUCUGAAUUUGACGUGGUUUGCUACUUUACCUUCCAUUUUUUUUCCUUGAAGAACUGCUAUACCCUCCUUUAAUUAUUUUUCUUUAGGUUAUCUGCAGCUCACUUGAGCAUUCCGAGUAUCCUGGCACCUGAAUUUUGCGCGCGCACGAUCUGAAUGGCAUAGAACAUCCAAACAGCGUCGGCGUCGCUCACAUCUUCUUCCUCACACCGUCUUCCUCCUCUCAUCACGCACACUCCCGACAUUCCUCUCGCGGGUGACCUCUUAUUUACCCCCGUGGCACUCUCCUCCAUGCGUUGCUCUGCUGUCGCUUCCUACCACUGCACUAGUCUCUCCCGGCCUUGAUGCCCCGCCCCAGCCAUGUCUGUCAUCCACCGACUUAGCUUACGCCGCCAUAUCCAAACCCAGCGUCUCCUGGGAAAGUGGGAAACCCCCACCCCGAACUCAGAAACCUAAGCUACUCCACCCCGAACUCAGAUAUACCCACUCGGCCACUCUACCAUCUAUCCAAUGGUUUUGUAGGUUAUUCUAGAAAGGUGAUUUUAGUUACAGGUUCAAAUCAAAUGACAUUUCAGUUGGCGGUGAAAGUGACCGCAGGAGGAAAUAAGCGGCGCGUGCAGUUGGGUGAGCUAGACCGAGUGUGGUGAAAAGCAGCGAGAUCCAAUGCAUGAGAAAGGAAAGCAUGCACGCAUUCAUUAGUGGUAACGUGGCUCCUGAAGCAUUGACCGACGGGAGAAGGAAAAGAAGUGAACCCGUGCAAGUGCAGGCAGGGGCAGGUGCAUGCAAUGACCUAUAUAGUUAUGUAGAGAGUACUCCGUACGUGUAGAGGUAUAGUAGAGUAGGUCCCCCCAACUAAUGGUGCGGUGCGCCUGUCCUGCCCGAAAGGCCACGCCGUAGAAAGGUUUAGACGAUAAUCCCACGUAAUUAAGGUCAGUAAACCCAAUUGCGAACGUUGACUGACUGAUUUACUGUAGGAGUAUAGCAGUUCGCUCGAGUGGGGCAGGCUCUCUGGAGGGCUCCAUCCUAGUCACCGAGAGCUAAAACACAACGGUAGCGAGACGUUGGAACCGAAAGCAACUCGAGCUACGCAUGCCUCGCGCGCGCUGGUGUCCAAUCCGUGACUUCUCUCGCGUGCGGGCAACCUGUUCCGGCCUGUUAUCCUGUAGUACAUGGUAGCAGUCUAUUAGCAGGGGCAGGUAUGUAGCUGUGGUACCCUUAAAAGCCGCUGCAGCCGAUGGGGCCAUGGGGAGCACGGAUCAGAAGGGUCGAGAAGAGGCCAGUGAGCCAAGGGUACAGACGCCGAGAACCGGCAAGCCGGCCCCACUUCGUUCCUGGGUGCAAAUCAUCCAUCCAUACAUGGCGAGCCACCAGGCCGGGGCAGGGGCCGCCGGACCCACCCACCAUUGACUGUUGCAGAUCUUGUAACAACGGAGAGCCACGGCAACGGACGAGCCGGGAGCGCCGGAGAGGGGAACAGCUGACGGCCACCAUCGGAUCAGGCCAUCGGCAUCGGCAGGGGGCGUGACAAUGACAUGCAGCUGCAUGGAGAGAUGAUGGGUGGGCGGGAGCGGGGCCCGGGGCUUUGACCGGCAGGCGGGCGGCGGCCAGGGCGCAUUCACGCCGACACCACCGGGGGACACGGCUCGGCCCGGCGGGGACGCGCGGAUGAGGACGAGGCCGCGCCGCGGCAAUUAUUUUUAUGCGAGUGCGAUGCGGAGAAUGAAGCGAGCGCGCCCGGCGCGAUGAUUGGGACGGCAGCGGCAGCGGGGGCUCGAGUCCGGGAGGCGAGCGCGGCGCGGCGCGUGGAUGGCGUGGAAGCCGACAUGUCGACGAUGGUGAUGGGCAGCAUGGACUCCAUCCGCGCCGCGCUAGCUGCUGAUCAUCAGCAGGAAAGCAGCGAAGGUGCACGGAGACUUCCUGGGGACACGCCAUCUACUACAGGCAGGAUCAGACCAUCUGUCAUCAUCAGUUGUCUUGCCAAACUACAUUAUCCAGCACUGCAAUCAUUUUCAUCUGGUUUUCUUUCUUUUUCUGAAAAAAAUAAACCUUAGCAUCCCAGCUUGUUCCGAUGCAGAACGUGCAAUUAUCGUCCAGCCGGGGGGCUAUCUUGCGAUCGAUGUGCAAUGGAUGUAGGCGUGACUAGAAGCAGCAGUGCCGGGCUGUGCGAUUCUUCCUCCCUUUCCUUCGUAACCGGCGGCUGAGAAUUGGGGCGUGCCGAGGCGCCGAAUCAUGAAGCCGAGAGCCGCGCAUCGAGCCCGUCGCGGCUCCGGCGGAUCGCGCCAGUCGAUCCGAAUACGUACUUUUGUGAACGNNNNNNNNNNNNNNNNNNNNNNNNNNNNNNNNNNNNNNNNNNNNNNNNNNNNNNNNNNNNNNNNNNNNNNNNNNNNNNNNNNNNNNNNNNNNNNNNNNNNUAGUCGGACACUACACGAUCCAUCGAGCAAACGUGGGCGGUGGUUUUGUGCACAUGGACCAGAAACUGAUUCGGUGUUAUUUCUGUGCAAGGCGGCAAGUCGGGAGAUCGACAAUGGGCAAUGCAAUGGAUCGGGUGAUCGACACGUCCUCAUGGAUAUUUGGGGGGAAAGGAGCUUCAGAUCUCCACCGUCGUGAGUCCGGAUCUGAUCCACCUAAACCACUACGUAGCAUACAUGCCUUUUCGGUUGACCUUGCUGCCAGCGGGCAGUGCCGUUCAUGCCGGAACGGUCUGCUCUACUGUCUAGCUUCGCCUAACAUUCACUAGCCAUCGCGUGCUCCUCACAUGGCUUCGAGCAUGACUGGCCGCUACCACAAAUUUUAAGUGUAAAAGGGACUGAACUGUCCUUUUACCCUGAACAGUAACGCGGGAAUGGUGGGGAAAAAAAACUUUGAUCUCGGUACAGAAACUCACCUCAGCCACGGGCCACAGCCCUGCAGAGUUGACGAGCAUCAUCCUGCAUCUUGUCUCAAAGUUCCAAACCAUGCUGUCUGCCAUCAGUACCGGGAUGUGCUUCCCCCGGAUAAGAUGCAGCACUAUCAGGAACCUGCAGUUCGGAAAUUCAGGAUCCGCCGCCACAGUAGGGAUAGGAAUGUCAGGGCCAGCUGUAGAAGAUAACAAAAUCAUGUUUCUGGAGGCUGAAUAAGUUCUUGUUCAGAGUAUAUACGGACUUACCGUGCUUCUGAAUUCUGAUGGUGUAAAUCCGGCAGUCCGAAGUAAGCUAAACGUGCCAGAAAACGACACGGCGGCACAAGUCAAAUGCACAGUAGUGAUAGAAAGGGAACGGCCGCCAAAUUCUAGUCCAUGCAUCCACCCAAAAGAGUUGGUUCCUGCCGUAGUGCCGACGAUGGAAUUCUUCAGCCUGCCGGUCUCCCUACGGCCCCCGUAGGGUUUUGCCUCCCUCGACUUCAGCUUCGUGGUACAAUGUUUUGGUACUGUAAGGGCACGUACAACGGUCGUGGCAGCCGUCGUCUCACGACGGAAGUUUUGCAAAAUCCCCCUCGCUUCACUGCAGUAACUGAAGAGAGAGAGGGAAGCCGUCGCGUGGGGAGACGACGGCAAGCGCUCGUGCUCCCAGGCGAAGAAGACGGCUGGCUGCGCGUUGUACGGAGCGUCGCCUCCUCGUCGACACCGUGCGGAUCCUGCUGUGCGCGCGCCAAAUCAUGGUUGCAUGCAAACAUUUAAUGAUUUGUUGACAGCCAAAACAGAUAGCAACUAUCUGUGGGUUGUACGAGCUGUCUAUUUAGCCGUCUAUGUAGUAAAUUCCAAGAACUUAGAGACAGCAGCUGUCUCACUGUUGUACAUGCCCUAAUGUGAAGUCGGUACGCGAAUCGAGGCAAAAAAAAUAAACUGGAAAGAGGUGAAAUGAAAAAAAUGACUUGCCCGGCUUCGACUUCAGCUCCGGCACCUGCUACACGAUGCGCUGCUGUAAGGAAGCCGAAGCCCCUCAAGCCCUACAAAGGGCCCUACGUCGACAAAAUUCUUCGUUCCGGAGACCACUGAAGUAGUGAAGUUGAAGCCCACUAGCUCGAUGUAGUUUGGUCCACGCACACCAUGCGGCCGCCCAACAAGGACCGAUCGUUGCGUGUGUCUCUUGAGGUGCAAAGCCCAUCAGACUGCCAAUGCAAGUCAUUCGCGCUGGUUCAGAGGAGGGGUAGAGAACAUGUCAAAUCUGACCGAUCCCUCAGGCCACUAGAUAAGAUCUGAGCACAAAACUAGGACGGAAAGAGAAACGUACUACCUUUAUUUGUCAAUAUCAUGGGAUUUUCAUUCCUAAUUAAAACGUUAUAAAACUGCUGUUUCUGUUACUAACUAGUCAUGCUUAUUUAACUUCAAAACUAGCUACUACGCAAGCUACAAGCAUUUUUUUACAACAAGGUGGCAAUAGAAGGAAACCUAAAUCCUAAAUUUCAAAAUCUGCAAUAGUAUACAGAGAGUAUCGAGGUCAGGUUUUGGUGUUCCUUUUAGUCACUUUGAAGUGACAGUUUUGCUAAUUGCAGUGACCCAAGGCGAGAAAUUUGCUAAAGUACCUGCUUCGAAGUCCAACAGACCGGGAUUUGCGGCCCCGCGCAGCACGGCCCAGUCGGCGCUCGCACAUUCUCCCAGAUGUCCAGCAGCUCCCAACCCAAGAUAAUGGGUUUGGUAACAUCAAACUGAAGAUUCAAACGGCCACUAUAUAAGGCGCCAGAUGGAAGAGAUCGAGAGGCAAUCAAACCAACCAGUGAAGGGACCAAACACAUAGGCACCACAAGCAUGAAGGGCAUCGCCCUCCUCGUUGCUCUUGCGGCUGUGCUCGCAUCGUACUGCGGCGCCUCAUCGCCUCACCAUGCCUUCCCGUCGGCAGAAGCACCGGCUCUGGCACCCUAUGCCGAGACGCCAGUGACGGCGCACCUUGGAUCCAAGCAUGGGAAGCCUCACCACCAUGGGUUGGCGCCGGUGGAACCACCGUCGUACCACGGCUCACCUCACCACAAGCACCAUGGUCAUCAUGGCCACCGCCACCACCAUGACCAUGGAGCUCCGCCAAACCCUUCCCCUGCUCACCACCCUCCACCCCCUCAUCAUCGCACGCCACCGCCUCAUUUUUCACCUCCCGCUCAUCACCAUGCACCACCACCACCAGCUCACCACGCACCGCCGCCUCAUUUUCCAACACCGCCUACUCAUCAUUCACCGCCACCGCCUUCUCACCAUGCACCGCCGCCUCAUUUUCCACCCUCCGAUCACCAUUCACCCCCACCCCCAAGCUCGCACACGUCACCGCCUCAGUUUCCACCCACAGCUCACCAUGCACCUCCACCUCAUUUCCCACCCCCUGCUCUCCACUCGCCGCCAUCCCCAGCGCACCACUUGCCGCCCCCACCUCCAUCCCGCUACCCACAGCAUGUUCCAUCGCACAGGCAUUCGCCACCUCCAUAGCCUUCUCAUGGCAAGGCACCACCACCACGUGGCCACAGGAAAUUUCCCCCGGCGUAUUCAACUAUAGCACCCUCACCAGCUUAUUACAGUGCCAUCUCCCCUAGUAAUGCGCCUCUGGCAGGUCAAAAUGGAGCAUCACCACCUUGGUAUUUUUGAUGCUAGGACCAGGAUGAACACUUUCCUGAGUUAUUAGUAAGAUCGCUGUUGAACUCUGCACAAGAGAUCAAAAUCUCAAUAGUUACCACGAAGGUUAUCCUUGCUUUUUCGUCAUACUUCAUUUCCAGCAAGAAGAUUAGUGAAUAAAUUAUGUACUUCAUUUGAAAAUCGUGUUGUUCAAGGAGUCGGGGUCCUAUCUCAAAAUGUUUCUUUGUCAGUUGGUGUCUAUGUAAUGGGAACCAUACUUCACAAAUUGUUCCAGUCCUUAAUCCUGUAUGUCGUUAUAUUGUCCAAUUUAUCACCUAGUUUUCUCUCUGUUCCUCUAAUCUCUGUAUGCCGCUGUUGUCACAUUCAUCAAGUAGGCUUUUCUCUGAUCCUCUAAUCUCAUUGCUGAUUACUGAUAGCAUCACUAGAACAAUGAAAUAUAACCUUAAUUAGUUCCAGUGUAAAAUGUAGAGGUAUGUCAUCCAAUAUACCAAAAAAGUUGAUUCAAACAUAGAGCACAAAUUCAAACAAAAACUUAUUUUAGAGGAAUAUCUCCCCCUUUAGUCUAUUUCACUCAAACUCUGUAAAUCAUAUUAAAUUACAGCUCCAUGAUACCAAAAUGUUUUUCCUUCCCCAAAAGGAAGAGAGAUGUAGGGCAUGACCAUGUAUGAUUACCAAAGUAGCUAAGAAAAAGGAUAUCAAUGAACUCACCUGAUGAAUCAUUCCAGCAAUAGAAAAUCUCUGAGAGUGCUGAAUUAAAACCUGCUAUAAGAAAUCUUGAACAGAAUUUAGCUUAUCAUAAUUAACAUAACAGAUGAAAGCCCCAAAGGCAGAACUUUAUGAAGUAAACUAGAAAUUUUGAAGUGGCUUAAGAGCAUGACAAGCAUAUUGUUACACGAAUUAAUUAAACCAGUGAUCAGUUCUGAUGUUAUGUUCUUUCGCAAAACAUAUCAAAGCUGAAAAGACAUAAUUUAUGAACUGUUUUGUGCAUAAAGUUUCUUAAGAGAUCAACAAGGAUAUUGUUGGGAUCCUAUGUAUUAAAACAGUGUAGCUGCAAAUGGUGUAAUUCAUAUUGCUCUGUGUUUGGAAUGCUGGGCCUUGUAUUGUAGGUACACCAAAUAAAUCAAGAAGCAAGACUAUAUUAGCAUGUCCUACAGUAAAUCAUGUUAAUAACUUCCCUAAACAAGAAACAAAAACCCCCAACACAUCCUAACAUCACAUUUGGCUAGUCCCAAGAACUAAAUCCAUGCACAGAAAAUGACCAUUGAUGACAGAAAUAAUAAUGAAUAGAGUAACUCAUCAACCGAAUUCUCACUCCAUCUGGAUGCGCUAAGGAACUAGUCCAUUUCACUGAUUGCAUCUCUAAGCACUUGGUGUACUAGUGCACCCAUUUUCACAUCUAACCCUUACAUAAGUCUGGCAUCGUCACUUACAAAGCCUGAUCAAACGUGCACGAAUUUAGCAUUGAAAUCCGUUAAGGCCCUAUCUGUUACUAAUUAAUAACCAGCACAAGGAGGCCAAAUAAUGGUAACUGAGCAUAAAAAAACGGAAUGGAUCAACCCCGUGGUCGGCGAUCCAUCCUAAAUACACGCACUGAUCGCAAAAUUCACACAGGCCCUCACAAAUGCCUAACUACACACCACAAGCGCAGGAAGGAACAUUGAGGAAUUGACGGGAGUUUAAUCCUCGCUUGGAUGAUUCGCAGGCUCGUUAGUAACCAAUCAGGCAUGAAUCGCAAAGGGGAACAUGAAAACCACGAAGCCGCGAGCUUGGGAUUUUGCAGAACGAGUCUCCGAAGAACGAUCGAAACCCAAACCAACCGCAAAUCCCAAAUUUACCUAGCGAUCACGCAAACUGUGCGCGCAGCAAGGCCCGUCCUCGGUGGUCGGUGGCUCGGUGCGCCGCUCUACUGCUCCAGGUAGCCAAGGACCAAGCCCCAAGGCGUAGCGGGACCGCGCGCCCAUUCGCAUCCGCAAGGGUACGCUCUGCAGGUUUCUAGAAGAUUCUGGGGUUGAGAGGUGGAUGGCGAUCUGGCGAUGCGGAACUGCGAGCUCGGGGAACGAACUCGACGGCUUGUCGAAGAAGCCGCCUGCUGUUUAUAUUCGGCGCGCGCGCUACUCUCGCGGGCCGCACCAUGAUGUCCUGGGGUUAUGGGCCUCACGGGGCCCGACCAAAGUGGCCUAGUAGCAGGUUCGUUAUUGGGCUUUCCAUUUGCCUCACCCGGCUUUCCGGCACAGAGCCUAAUCGGUGGGCAGUGGCGGCGCGGCGCGGAGCCGCUGCCGGAGGAGCUAGAACCACCGAUGACCGAGGUGGUCGGUGGUGGAGGAGCUCGCGCACAUCCUUUUUCGCGGGGUGAGAGCUCGACGCCGCCGAUGGGUCAGGGGCGAGAGGCAGGUCGGCGCCUUCGCGGCGCGGUGCCGCCGCUGCCUCGUCGGUCGUAGCACCAACCACCAAGCGCCACGUCGGUGAGCUCACGUCAGCGUCCCCUCGCUUCCUGCUAAGAUGCAGCGUCCUGACUCCUGAUGCGUUCUCCCGAGGAUUGCUGCAACUUGUGUGGCCAUAUCAAUGCGUUCUCCCGAGGCUAGUAUUGAGGCACGCGGUGAUUGGUUGGGACAAAUUUAGGACUUCUCAUUUUUGUGACAAAAAGAGAUAAUAAGCAUCCAAAGGAAAAUUAGCACAAACAUCUCUUGUACAUAUUACAACUUAUCCUGUCUCCUGAGUGCUUGUGAGUUGGGUCCUAAGACCAAUUUAAGCCGCCUUCUUAGAUCCCUGGUGGAAAAUUAUAUUGUAGAUUCAGGUGGGAAGUGGGAGUGCCAUUCGAGGCAUAAACGCCCGAAUCGACUAGUUAUUUGCAACCCUCGGUGGUCAGUGCCAUCUAGUUCAUUGUUAAAUCGAUAAACUUUAGUAAUAAUGCAUGCAGUUCCACCAACCACUAGCAGACAUAAAGGUAAUCUAUCUAUCGGAUAGGAUUGGGAUUGCUCGUUCGACUAGAUAUCACAUUUGCUUUUACCUUGAUCCAACAUGUUUUAAUCAGUGGUUGAAGGAUCCAAUCAACAAAGGCAUGAAUAUCUCUUGAUAUGCAUCAUUAGUUAGACCACUUUGGUCUUUGGUACCUUUUAUUUGCAGCUAAUGAAGGUCCGGGGUUUAUGAAAGAUCAGCUAGGUAAAUUUUGUAGAUUGUUCUUCGGUGAACUCUUUGCUAAAAUUUGUAAAGUGAUAUUCAAAUUGUUGUAUCUUAACAAUAAUUAAGGCCUGAAAUUCGUCACACAAAUGAUGUGAAAUUGCUCAAAUAGUAGGGCUGUAGUAGUACCAUAAGCAUGUCUUACAACCAGCUCUCUCCUUCCCCCCCUGUGUGUGCCUUAUCCGCAGUGAUAAACUUGCGGAUCAGACUUAACAUAAAGUGAUAGCUCUUUAUUUUACUUGUGUCUGUGAAUCACAUCCGCACCUGAAUAUUUAAACGAACCCUAUUCUAGAAGUGUGGAUAUGAGCUAUGAAUUCACCCAAUCUAUAUAUAAAGCGUGAACUGUCCUGGUAAUUGCAACAUAUUGGAUAAAGACGGUAUGUGUUCUUGAUCUCAUUGAUACUGUUCUACGCGUUUAUCUGAGCUCUUAUGUCAUAUCUUCAGAGUCUUCUUGAGUAAAGUAUUAGAUUAAAAAAAUGCCUUUACUAGGAAAAACUUUGCAUAUGCAACUAUGAGUUUUUGCUAUUCGGGAUCUACCAUCGAAUCUCGCCUUGGUUUGCAUUUAUGAAUGGAAAAAUGAAACACUCUGUGCAUAUAUGCAACUUCAAGUUUCAGCUGAUUCGUGGCUUCCUAUAUUGUAUCUGGUGGCUAGCUCACUGGAGGUGGCAACAGCAGUGUUAAACAUAUUUUUCGGUCACUUGAUUUUAGAUAGGCAGUAGAUCAGAAAUUUACUAGUGAGAGUGUGCUCUUGCUGACCUUUUGUGCUCCAUAAUGUCAGAAGUCUUUUAUACUUGUUAACAUGGACGUAAAAACAGUGUUUCAGAAAACUUCUCUCCUUUCUGUAAUCAACUCAUCCUAUCUUCUCUAUCAUUUAGUAGGUAUUUAUAGUAAGGAUAUCAUGGUCAUUUUCUCUUGGUGUUCACCUUGUUAAUCCUUGUGGCCAUGUUAGGCAAGAAUGCAGGCAAGACAGAAAUGUCCAGAUGCAUUCAUGUAAUUGUGCAUGUAGAUUUCUCUUAAGCUUUCCAGUUGAGCAAUCUGGAUGAACCACUGAUCGGUACCCAUAUCUUUUGUUCAGUUUUUCUUUCUUUUCCUGGUUUACUUUUAUCACUUUUUGUUGAAUGGAUGUUAUGUCUCCUGCAGAGUAACUUAAGAUAAGCAUUGGACUCUGUCUGUAACUUAAGAUUGACUAGAUAGAUCUAAGACUCCAAAGCAUAAAGUGAUGGGUCGAGAUAAGCUUAAUUAUGGAUAGCCUGGAACAAUCAUAUGACUUACACGUAGAUGUCUACAACUUCACACUGAAGAUGCAUUAGCACAGUGGUUCAACCAAGGAGUCCUUGUGGCAAGCAAUUGUCAUGCAUAUCUGAAAUUGGAACCACUGUUACAUUUUUCACAUUCUACAGAGUUCAUAUGAUAGUUUUGCUCUUUGCAGGUAAGCAUAAUUAGAAAUUAAGAAUAUUACAUCUGAACUAGUAAGAGGCUGUAUGUUUGUCAGAGAAUUUCAGUGACAACCAUGGGUUCGAAUUGAAAUAAAAAGGGACUAACCAGGUGAUUUUGUAUUAAGAAGGAAAUACCCACCCAAAUUUUUCGCGAAGUUGACUCAAAAUUGGGUGGUGAAUGGUCAGCAUAUAUCGUGUAAACCUGCACCUCUGGCGACUGAGCAAAUCUUGAUUCCUGGAAAUCAUUGGUUCCUCCACCAUGAUAUUGGCUUCUCAUAGAAGCAACCACAGCCAUUAAGUCGACAUUCUUUUUUUAUGAAACGGAGGGGUUGCCCAUUAUAUGUUAAUAUUAAAAAAGAGAAGACACAAAUAAAAAGAAGAAGCACAAAAAGAAAAACAGAAAGAGUCCAUAUGUCUAAUUUUGUAUGCCACAGAAGUCAUGUUACUUCUCAUUAUCGGCAAAUCCAUAUUUAGGAAAAGGUCCUUCCUUCAAAUUAUUUUAAUGGAGUGCCCUGAUUAUGUUUAACCGUAUUACUUAAUCAGUCCUUUCCAUACUACACUGAUCAACAAGGUGUCAGCACGUAGUUGACUUGGCUACCAGCUGAGCUUGUGGAUGUCGGCACCAUAUGAAAGAAACAUGCAGUUUGUGGAGGAAGCAACACUCCUGGUUUAUAUAAUGCUUCAUAGAUAACUUGUUUAACUUAUUUUUGUGCCAAGAUUGCUUUUUGUCGACUAACCACUCAUUCAAGGGGUGCUUUACCCAGUAGGAUUGCUGUUGAUAGCCCAAGCAGUUCUAAGCUGACAAAUCAUCCUCCAAUUUGCGAGAUUGCUAUGGUUCACAUAAAGUGGUGGGGAUCAUAACAGAGCAACUAGGAAUAAACAUAGUGCGCAAAGAAUAUGUAACUGCUCCAUUUCCUUUGCAUUUAAGCUUAGAUGAAUCCUUUUUCUUUUUUUAAUAUUAGGUGCUGUUCUUAUCUUUCUUGUAGCUACAUCUAUGUGUUAAAUAAUGUUACUGUUGUCUGUAUAUUUUAUUCCAAAAUUGCUGUGUUUUCUCCUGGAUGCCGAAACAGUGUAGUUUACACAUGAAUCAAGUAAAUGAUUAGCUCAUCCAACAUGUUAUUUCCUGCAGUUAGGAGUCAUGUUUAUAUAAAAUGAAGAUAAAUUGUACCGAAUUUAUGGCAUGGUAGGUAUUUAUGUCUCUCUCACUUACUAGUUCAAUAAGUAUGGCUGUAUGUUAUAAAGAGAAAGGCACUGAAAAUGUGAAAACUUCUUUGCUACCGCACCAUUCACUUUGCAGGUGUUGUGAGUACGACCCUAACAUGUGUUUUGCAUGGACCAGUGCCUGACUCAGUUCCUGUGAAGUCAUGAACCCACUAAUGAAGGUCAAAUAGCUGAUUGCAGCCAGGAUUUUUCACAGCCGCACAUAAUGACCCUAUAGCUGGCUAGAAGCCUAAAAUAUUUUACAGCUGACUAGCAUAACCUUAGAGCUGGUUUGAAGAGGAUGUAACUGAUAGCUUCACAAAUUGGUCAGUAUAUAUUUAUCCCGUUCCAAUCGCCAUGCUUCUUUCCUUGAACCAGACAAACGUGAGUUCCCUUUUAUGCAAAUUCUAAUCUCCACGCUUUGCAUAUGUACUUCUUAUACAGUAUUAUCAGGCAGACAAGAGAUGGUGCUGCAUGUGGCCCUCUGAUUCCUAGAGAAACCCACUGAGAUGCAGCCCACUUGCCACAAGCAAAGAAGCUUCCAAUUGCGCACCUUCCAACCUUUACCAAAUGCUUUUUGUCUCAAUUGGCUGGCAGAGACGAAAGGGGCAAGGGCGAAAGAGGCAGCGUAUCGUAGCAUAUAAAAUAAUUCAGUAACCAAAUUAUUGCAGUCUCUAAAGAGCCUAUAAAUACUUCAGCACAUACCCAGCUUAUGAUUCUACCUGAGGCAGACUGGAAAGAAGAACAAACCUACGCAACUAGAUAGAGCUACAGAUUUGCACUUGCAGGAUUCUGAAGAAAGCUGGGUUUGUGCCCAAGAAGGACAUGGAGUACCCAAGGAGGACAUUACUGCACACUCCAUUCUCUGGGCAUCCCUCUGGUUCGAGCCAGCCACUUGAUGGAGCCGCGCCCACGGACGGUGGUGCUCCUGGAAGCAACUUCGACGCAAACGUCGUCAUGAUCCUGGCUGUUCUUCUCUGCGCACUGAUCUGCGCGCUCGGGCUCAAUUCAAUAGUCCGGUGCGCGCUGCGGUGCUCGAGCCGGACGGUGGUUGAUCCUGUGCCGAACCCAGUGACACGUUUGGCUCAGAGUGGGCUGAAGAGGAAGGCCCUACGAGCCAUGCCGAUCCUGGUCUACUCGGCUGGGCUGAAGCUCAAUGCUGCCAACCCGAUGUGCGCGAUCUGCCUCUCCGACUUUGAGGCUGGAGAGCAUGUCAGGGUCCUCUCCAAGUGCAACCAUGGGUUCCAUGUCAGGUGCAUCGACCGAUGGCUCUUGGCGCGGUCGACGUGCCCGACAUGCCGGCAGUCCCUGUUUGGAGCUCCACAGAAGGCCUCUGGCUGCUCUGAGGCGAGCAGGGUCGAGCCUGCGCCUUCCCGCUCUGUCCUCGUGCCGCUCAGACCUGAAGGUUUGGUCACUCCUUAUGAUUUUUAGAGUCGUCAGUUGCUUCUUUGUUGUUACAUGAAGGAUAAGAGGUUGGGAAGAGUAGAAACAAAAAAUUGUGAUCAUUAGAAUACUGCCAAUCUGGCUUGUACAUUGUUGCUGGAGAAAAAGAAAACUGUACAGAUUUCCUCAGUUUUCUAUUUGCCGUGUUGGUGCCAAAUUGUUGCUGGAGAAUGUGCCUUGGAAAAUGCCAGGUGCUAUGGGCCUUUUGUGAAUCACAUUUCAAUGUGAAUUUGGAAAAUGAAGUAAAGGGGAGAGGCAUGAUUGGCCGGAUUAAUCAUAUGCUUGUGCUGAGUGCGGCACCACCAUCUUGGUGAUUGGAGAUCAAAGCUUUUUGCAGUUUUGCUGCUAAGGUUCAGGGUUCAGUGGGAACCAGCAUAUUCUACAGCCAUUAUUGAGAGAUCAGGGGGCUGUGCAAUCUGCUGCAAUGCCUUGCAGUAUGUUGUGUGUGCCCCCAGAAUUGAGAGGUUGGUGGGCCCACACCCAACUAAACCUGGUACACAUUGGCUAGCUAGCUAUUUGCCUGUUUCCCUUUGUGCGUGAUGUGCUGCCAACAGGAGACCGGGAUUGGCCAGUGAUAGAAGCCCAGGUGACGUGUCAAGCUGCCAUUGCACGAUGCCCAUGUGGUUUUCUCGUCUGUUUGCUCUAAAGAAAGGCUAGAGGUAGUGAGUGCCUUCCGGGAGAAUCAGCUGGUUGGCUGUGUGUGCGGUUCACGAAUGAGAAACGAGAAGUGCAUUGGCUUGUGCUCGCUGAAAAGGAGGGCUGCCUGGAUGCCCACUCAAAGAAAGAUACGCUAUUCACUUCAGAGCUGAUACGGCUCUUUUGGCCCGGCAUAUCAUUGGAGUGCUUGUGUGCUAUUGGGAUCAAGAAUAUUGUAAUAGUGCUACUACUACUCUUUUUUUUUUGAAAAAGGGCAAAAUAAAAUAUCUGAAGCCAUUAAAUUUAGAAAAUAUUUGGGAGACGAUACGAUGCAACUCCUAAAGCAGGUGGUCGUCUGAAAAGAGUAACACGCAACUCUUUUUAAUUCGAGGUGUAAAUCGUAUCGUCUGGAAAGGCAAAAUGAAGCGGUAAUCUGGGCUUCAUCAACGAGAAAGGUUACAUAGAUGACACUCGAUCCGUGAGGGUAACUGUAAGGCUCCCUUUGGUUCCACGGGAUUAAAGUCAGUCCUGUCAUAUCCAAUGCUUAAAUACUAAUUAGGAGUAUUAAAUAUAGAUUAAUUAUAAAAUUAAUUGUAUAAAUGAAGGUUAAUUCGUGAGAUGAAUCUAUUAAGCCUAAUUAGUUCGUGAUUUGAUCAUGUGUUACUACAGUAAAUAUGUGCUAAUCAGGGAUUAAUUAGACUUAAUAGAUUUGUCUCGCGAAUUAGCCAUGAUUUACGCAAUUAGUUUUAUAACUAAUUCACGUUCAGUCCUUCUAAUCGGUACCAAACAUCGAAUAUAACCCGAAUUAAAAAUUAGCCAAUAGAUCCAAACAGCCCCUAAGGAUCCUGUGAACAAAGAACUGCGGUAGAAGCGGAACGCGCCUGCUCAGGGUCCUGUGAAAAAAGAACUGUGGUAGAAGCAGAACGUGCCUGCCCUGCUGGGAUCCAAAUCCAAUCAUCAAACGAUGUUUCCGCGUGCAUUUUUCUCAUGGAUCUCGAAAGGCAUCAUCUCCGAAAAGGAGCUUAUACCGCUGGAUUUUGAGACGCCCAUCAUGUCAUGUCACGCGGAAGGAUAAGCUGAUCGGUAGGUAAGUGGGAGUUCAGCUGAUAGAGUUCUAUCAUGGCAGGCACAAAAGAUGACUGAUUUCACGUUCGCCGCCCCAUGAUUCUCGUUUUCGAAGUGGUCGGUCGAACGACGGAUGAAGCCGGCUGUUCCAAACCACAAAAAUACAGCCGGCUGUAACAAAGUCAUUACCUUUUAAAUUUUUUUAAGAACAUUACCUUUUUAAUAAUAAUGAAAGCUUCGAGAAUGGGCCUGCGACGCGCGGACGUCCGACCGACCGGCGGCGGCGGCCUCCUCCGUCCCGCUGUUGGUUGGGCCGGGCCUGUGGACGGCGAUCUCGCUCGGCUCGCGAAGCUACGGAGAAAGAGGACGAGGCCACCUUGUGGGCCCAACGAUCCACUCCGUAGCCACCUCAGCCAAUGGCGUCGCAGCAUCACCCAUCACGCGGAUCGGCACCACCAAGCGGCGCCACCUCCACCGUCCAUUCCAUCGGACGGCUGAAACCAACUCACCCACCCAGCCUUCCCUCCCCCGCCUCCCCCCAAAAAUUUCAAGAUCCCGCCUUCACCGCUGGCUUCAAAUACCCCGCCCCGGAGCCGCCGCAACAGCUCGCAUUCGCAUUCCAAUCCACCAAGGCCUUGUUUAGUUGGCCAAAUUGGGAGGUGCCAAAUUACUGUGCCAGCACUGUAGCACACUGUAGCGUUUCGUUUGUAUUUGUGAAUUAUUGUCCAAAUAUUGACUAAUUAGGCUCAAAAGAUUCGUCUCGCAAAGUACAACAAAACUGUGCAAUUAGUUUUUAAUUUCGUCUACAUUUAGUACUCCAUGUAUGUACCGCAAGUUUGAUGUGAUGGGGAAUCUUCUUUUUGCAUAGUGUCAAAGUUAGAAGUUAGGAGGUAACUAAACAUGGCCCAAAUCCUCCCCACCUCAACCUGCUAGCGCCGCCGAUCCGCCGCUCCGCUCCGAUGGCCCGCACCAAGCAGACGGCCCGCAAGUCCACCGGCGGCAAGGCGCCGAGGAAGCAGCUGGCCACCAAGGCCGCCCGCAAGUCGGCGCCGGCCACCGGCGGCGUCAAGAAGCCCCACCGCUUCCGCCCCGGCACCGUCGCGCUCCGGGAGAUACGCAAGUACCAGAAGAGCACGGAGCUGCUGAUCCGCAAGCUCCCCUUCCAGCGCCUCGUCCGCGAGAUCGCGCAGGACUUCAAGACGGACCUGCGGUUCCAGUCCUCGGCCGUGGCGGCGCUGCAGGAGGCCGCGGAGGCGUACCUCGUGGGGCUGUUCGAGGACACCAACCUCUGCGCGAUCCACGCCAAGCGCGUCACCAUCAUGCCCAAGGACAUCCAGCUCGCCCGCCGCAUCAGGGGCGAGAGGGCUUGAGCGCGCGUGAUGCUGCGUCUUCGUUGUAGUGCUGGAACUAGAUGGGUGGUUCGUUUCUUGCCGUGCUAUCUUGUAGUAAUGUUCUGAAUGUGUUGGUCACACUUCAAUGGAAUGCGAUUGCAAGUUUCUGAAAUUUCUGAAUGGCUCUGUUCUUGUGAGAUAUGCUGUCCGUUCCAUGCCAUCUGUUGUGAUUAAAGUGUUGAGUUGCUGGAAAGAAUAGAUCUGGUGUAGUCGGUUUUAGAAAUAUGGGCCUGCAGAAUUGAUUUUGUGUCAAAAAUGCUGUUGCAUGGCUAGAGCUGGUGCCCUCAGUUGCAGGAUCAAUGGCCUUAACUUUGCUCUUCAUUCUCAUGAACUGCACAUGAAAACAGUAUGAUAACAUUGGCUUGUGAAAACGAAAUGAUGGGGCAGACAUCUCACCAUGACGUUUUAGGCAUUAAUCUCAAUUUACUAACAGUGCCACUACUAUUUGAGGCCUGAUUCAUCCACCAGCAGAAAUCUGGCAAAUUACAUUGUGGUACCAUUCAGGUUAGGAUGAGGUAAUCUCUACAGGUAGCACAUAGAAAUUUCUAAAGAUUAAAAAUGAACUAGUGAAACAGUGUUUUCUCGACUGAAAUAGUUGAGAGAUGAGAGGUAGUGACAUGAAAAAAAAAAUCUGUUGCAGUUGCACUUGUAAAAAUUGCGAUUUUAUGUUUCAGACGGUCUCUUAACCGUGACAUAUAUCUUGAUUGUUUGGCAAAGGAAAAACAAUGACUAUGAUUCCAUUUACUCCCCUAUUUUGAUCUAAACGCUCGAUAAAAUUCUGUGCACGUGGUGCCAAGCUAUGUAGAAGCAUUUCCCUAAAGCGAAAAUUAUGUUUAAACUUUAAAGUGGCACUCUCAAUCAUGUUUCCGUGUUACAUUUUUCUCAAGCAACUCAAAGGACAAUAUGUCAAUAUCCCGUAAGGAGCUGUGAGAAGAGCAGGUACCUACCUAUCUAAAGGAAGAGGAGUCAGUUCACACAAAAAGAUCAGAUGAUCAGCAGGUAAGUGGAGGUUGUUAUAUCAUGGCAGGCAUCCAGAUGACUGAUUUAACAUCCUCCAUCACCAUCAAGUCAUGUAACUAGAUUGGGGGGGGGGGGGGGGGGGGGGUAUUUCUUGCCGUGCUAUCUUGUAGUAGUGUUCUGGAUGAGUUGGCCUCACCGCAAAUGAAACAUGAUUGCUGAUUUCUGAACGGCUCUCUGUUGCCCGCAUAAUUGAUUGUGUAAAAAAUGCUAAUGCACAUGAGAUUCUUUUCUUCUGUUUGCUCCAAAGUUCAAAAGCUGGAGCUAGCGGCUAGUGCCUUUGCAGUUGCAGAAUCAGCUACCUUAACUGUGUUACUCCAGUCUCAUGAGUUGCCUGCCAAAAUGGUAAGAAUAAGAGCAGUGGCUUGUGGUCUCUGAAAACGAAAACUCCCUAGACCCUGGAUACCCAGAUAUGAUUGUUUUCUAUGAUAUAUGGGCAGGCCUCUCACUGUGAUAGUGUUUAUGUAUUAAUCGGACUUUAGUAAUAGUGAUACAACUACUUGAAGGUCAAUAUGCUAUCUCCACUUCCAUAAAUCUGGUAACUACAUUGCUGCUCCAAUCAUUGUCAGUUUUGCUGCUCUCUAUGGUCUACACAAGUACCACUUCAGAGAAGUUUCUAAAGACAACAAUUGACCUCAAGAAGUAGCGUUUCUUUUAGGACUGAGAAAUAUACUCGAGAGUUGGGAAGUAGCAUGACACAGAAAACCAAGCGCAGUUGCAGUUGUAAUCGGCGAUUUUCAUACAUCUAAAUUUGUUUUAUGAAACUCGGUGCAGGUGGUGUCGAACGAUCUAGAACAAUGUCCCCAGAAGCAGAUGGCUCCCGUUGCAAUCCGAUUCCAAUCACGUUUCCGUGUUGCAUUUUUCUCAAGCAACUCAAAUUCUACAUCGGGGCUGUGUGGAGCUGGUACCUAACUAAAGGAAGUGGCGGUCAGUUCGUACAGAAAAAGAUUAGCUGAUGAUAAGCAGGUGAGUGGAGGCUGUUAUAUCAUGGCCGGUAUAGACGAUGGAUGUAACAUUCUUCUCCAUCAGGUGGUUAACUUAUCUUCUCUGAAUUAGUGGUUGAUCUCUGUUUCCAACACGAGCAGGCUGGCCGUCACCGCCCUUCCGGCCAUUUCCAACUUCCAAGCCUGCGCGGCCCGUUCGUACAGUGCUCGCCGAGCCCAGCUCGCUGGCCGCGGCCGAAACCACAAGGUGGGGCCAUCGAUCCACGCCGCAGCCGCCUCAGCCAAUGGCGUCGCAACGACCCACCACGCGGAUCGCCACUACCAGCAGCGCCACCCUCACCGUCCCCUCCAUCCAACGGCCAGAACCACUUCCCCCGCCCGCGCCUCCCAAAAAUUUCGCGACCCUGCCUUCCCCACCCUUUCCACAGCUACAAAUACCUCACCUCUAGUCCCAAAUCCACACACCGCCGAUUCGCGCUCCGGUUUCCAGUCCCCCAAAUCCUCCAAUCUCCCCGCGCCGCCGUGUAAUCCCAGCCUCCUCGCCCCGCUCCGAUGGCCCGCACCAAGCAGACGGCGCGCAAGUCCACCGGCGGCAAGGCUCCCCGCAAGCAGCUGGCCACCAAGGCCGCCCGCAAGUCGGCCCCGGCGACCGGCGGCGUGAAGAAGCCCCACAGGUUCCGCCCCGGCACCGUCGCGCUCCGUGAGAUCCGCAAGUACCAGAAGAGCACGGAGCUCCUGAUCCGGAAGCUGCCGUUCCAGCGGCUGGUGCGCGAGAUCGCGCAGGACUUCAAGACCGACCUCCGGUUCCAGUCCUCGGCGGUGGCGGCGCUGCAGGAGGCCGCUGAGGCGUACCUGGUGGGUCUGUUCGAGGACACCAACCUGUGCGCCAUCCACGCCAAGCGCGUCACCAUCAUGCCCAAGGACAUCCAGCUCGCCCGCCGCAUCAGGGGCGAGAGGGCCUGAGCGAUGCUCGUCGUCAGUGUUCUUUUGAUUUGUUGGUCUGUAGUGCUAGCCUGCUCUGCUAGAACUGGGUUGGGAAUCUUGUAAUGAUCUGUAUGUUGGCCUCGCCUCAGUGGAAUAUGAUCCGUGUCUCCUGAAUCCUUUUGUACUUGCAACGUUUGCUGUCUGAUCUGUUCUCAAGCAUGCAAUGUGAAGGAAACAACUCGCUGCUGUUGAUUUCAGCGUAUGAUUUGUGCUUGCAGUUUAGGUGUGACGGUGCCAUCUUGCCGUAGCGUUCCAAUGGUGCACGGUACAGAAUAAGCUUCCAACACGCACAUUGAUCUACACGCACGUUCUCUAAAGAUGGCUUCAUUCCUGACUGAAAAUGGCUCCUGUAUGUUGCCUGUAAUAGCCCUGUUAGAAAUUUCUAACAAUCACUUAAUAAGAUAUGAUUGGCACAAGCAGCGAUGGCGUGCAGUUACACAAGAAGGAUGCGGUUGGCAGUAUAAGACUUGCAGUGCGGUAUUAGUAGAGUGGUAGGAACAGGGACCCAUCAAUUUCAGUGAUGGUGAACGUUAUGGAAGGAGAAAGGAGCGUGGAAUCGAGUUUGGAUUUUAACAUAUUUGAUCUAAGUACUGCUAUCACCAUUCAAGCUCAUCACUCCAAGUUUGUAGCUCUACCUGUAGUGUCGGUCCUAUCUGCUCCACGGUAAAACAACAGAGAAAAAUUCUGCUUACUAAACAGGUUUCUAAUUCUGUUUCCAUCUUAGAGUAGCCUCAGUAACCAUGGUAACAUUUUGCUUAUGAUUGGAUCUGGAUGGGAGACAUAAAAAGAAAAUGAGGGUUCUGAAUUCUGCACCCUACCAGUCUGUAUAUCUUGAUAAUCACUGUUUAGUAUGAGAUGUUACCUGAAGUGUCAAGAAGCCAUUAACAUGCAGUUAGUCCACUUGAAAUGAUCUUUGAAGUUUGGCAUAACACUUGCCAUUUAUUUGUUCGUGGAUGAAUAUUUAGGAUUUGUUUGGAUAGAGAGGUUGGGUCCCAAUACCUAGGACUCGUUAGUUGAACAAUCCUUCUCAUCCAAGAAUGAUGGGCAAUUCUAUUCGAGUGCUCUUAGUUUAUCUUUCUCUCUGCCUACAAAAUGUCCUGUGUUCUCUCUGAAAACCAACAUGAAACCUUUUCAGCUUGGCACAAUUGAUGGUCUACUGCCCUUUACCUCAUGCACUUGCAUGCUUCUUGCGCUGCUCAACCCAAGGUAAGGAAUUCUUCAAGAUGGAUUUAUGCUUUACUGAUUACUAUUUUAGCUGCUGUUACUAAUCUGUGUUUAAAGAACCAAAACUUUUAGCUGUCAAUGUUUAGAGUAGCUUAGCUUCUACAUUCUACUGACCGGUGUGUGCGUUGUUCUACCUUGUUGAUCUGUUUUCUUCAAUUAUUUUUUGUGAAAAUGGUACAUGCUACUUGUAAAGUUGCUAGCAAUCCUUGUAUCGGCAAGUUUGAGUAGAUGCAAAUUUUGAAUCCUCCAGGUGUUUUUCACUCUUCUGUGUGGAGUCAAGUGGUGAGUCCAUGCAUGCUGGUUGCUUCACUUCAGACUGAACUAACUUGGCCCAAAUCAGAAAUAGUAUUCACACAUGUAAAUUCCUAAAUCAGCUUUUGGUUUAAAAGAAGCAAAAGGCCCAAAUCAUCUUACAGAAUCUCCUUGGUAUCAAUGUCCGAAAUUUUCUUCUUCUUCUUCUUCUUCUUUGCUAGCAUUACAGAAUGCUUGCAUAUGCAUUCUGGCACUUAGUGCAGGCUGAAUGAGAUCUCCUCGAGGUAGCUGCAGGCCUGCAAGUAACCUUGCCAUGGGAGGCAUGUCCAGUUCAACCAGGCCCUCCAGGAUCUGAACCACCUAACCAAUUGUUUCCCGAUCAAACUCAUUGUCCUGAAUGUAUCAGCAAGCAACCUUGCAAGCUCUUUAGACCUCAAAGAUGGCAUCGCCGUUUAGGCUGUGAUCCAGUAAGCUCAUAACAUCUCCCUUAAUAAACUUACCUUCAACUGGACCGGAAAUAAGAAACAUCAUCACUGCUUCAGUAUUCUUCAUGUGAGUUCAUCCUCCCGGACAUGAUCUCCAGUAGCACCAUACCAUAGUUUCAGGGUGACGGGCAUCCUGCUGAUCCAUUCAGGCGCAAUAUACCCAAUAGUUCCUCUGAUUGUGGCCAUUACCCUGCUGAAGUCCGCGAUCUUUGGACUGAAUGAUUUAUCAAGAAGUAUGUUCUGUGGGCUGUGGCUUGACGUCGCAGUGUAUGAUGCAGUCCGGGCAACCCUCGUGCAAGCAAGCCAACCCCCGAGCAACUCCAAGAGCUAUCUGAUAUCUAAUUCUCCAAUUCAGGGUUGCAGCAUUCCUCUGGAACAAAUGGACGUCAAGGGAAAGAUUGGGCAUGUGUUCAUAGACAAGCAGCCUACUGUCUCCCUCUCAGAAAAAAAUCGGAUUGUUUUGACUAGAUUGUUGUGAUGGAUGAUUCCAAUUGAGUUCACUUCAGCCCUGAAUUGCUUCUCUACUUGAGCCUUUUGAGUUUUGACAGAUAAUAUAGCAGUUGACUCAUUUAACAGCCCUUCGAAUACAGAACCAAAUCUGCCAGCCCCAAGCUUCACUGAAGAUCCUUUGUCGCUCUCUGGAAAUCGCUGUGCCUGAAUGCGACAAGGCUGCCGUCACCAGGGAUGCUCUUUAAGGUUUGGGAACUUACUUCCUUCUGUUCCUCAUGGCCAUUAGCAGAAUGACGAACACCAGGACCCAAAGCGGACAGGCUUGCAGCGAUGGCACCUCCGAUGACCACUCUUCUACUGCUCUUCCUUGCCUGAAACUCUCUAGCAGCAAGGUGAAGGUGAAGAAUUUCUCUAUUCUAUUCUAUCAGUGGCAUCAGUAAACUGCUAUUGUUUCACAUCGAACAACUCACCAUUACCUGUGCACUUUCUGUGUCAACUGUGAAAUGUGCCUUUGGGGAUUACUAUAUGGCAAUCUCAUGACUGGCACGGCGUAGAACUUGUCCUUGAUGCCGGCCACACUACCAGUGUCACUGCAACGCUAUCUCGCCGUUGAUUGGCCACAGCGAUGACCAUAAUUGUGCGAGACAGGCGGUGGAACAGGACCUGCAACGAACGUGAAGGCAAGUAAAGCCAGUCGAUGGAUCCAGCUUCACCUUUUUCUCGUGGUUUUCUAGGUUUGAACCAGCCGACAGGAUGGACCCCUAUGCCAGUCGCCGUCUCGCGUGACGUGGAACGCGUGAUAACGAGUGGAGUGGAGCCUUGGGUGAUGUAGCGGCAGCAGAGGCGCACGUGCACGGCGCGUCGAGAUGUAGACGGGGAAUAAGGGGCCGUUUGGAACUAUUGCUGGGUAAUAUUUAGACCUGGUUUGAUUUCUCUGUUUAUUUUUAGUCCUCGUCACAUCAAAUAUUUAGAUACUAAUUAGAAGUAUUAAACGUAGAUUAUUUACAAAACUCAUUAUAUAAGUGGAGUACUUCCAUAUAUACCUUAAAUAAUGUAAUUUUUUGUGUCAACUGACAAAGAAUAUAGCUGCAAAUUGUUUAGGAACAGCUGUGACUAAAGUGAAGAUACUUAACAUUCUCUAGGUUUCAAGGAGACAAGUGAGGCAUGCUGUGGCAGUACAUUGUUUGAUGCUUCUAUAUACAUUGCGUAUCACAGGGCAUGUCCCAUGUUCUUGAUUAUAUAUACUGGGAUGGCUUCCAUCCAACUGAAAUGCCUACAAGUUUGUGGNNNNNNNNNNNNNNNNNNNNNNNNNNNNNNNNNNNNNNNNNNNNNNNNNNNNNNNNNNNNNNNNNNNNNNNNNNNNNNNNNNNNNNNNNNNNNNNNNNNNNNNNNNNNNNNNNNNNNNNNNNNNNNNNNNNNNNNNNNNNNNNNNNNNNNNNNNNNNNNNNNNNNNNNNNNNNNNNNNNNNNNNNNNNNNNNNNNNNNNNNNNNNNNNNNNNNNNNNNNNNNNNNNNNNNNNNNNNNNNNNNNNNNNNNNNNNNNNNNNNNNNNNNNNNNNNNNNNNNNNNNNNNNNNNNNNNNNNNNNNNNNNNNNNNNNNNNNNNNNNNNNNNNNNNNNNNNNNNNNNNNNNNNNNNNNNNNNNNNNNNNNNNNNNNNNNNNNNNNNNNNNNNNNNNNNNNNNNNNNNNNNNNNNNNNNNNNNNNNNNNNNNNNNNNNNNNNNNNNNNNNNNNNNNNNNNNNNNNNNNNNNNNNNNNNNNNNNNNNNNNNNNNNNNNNNNNNNNNNNNNNNNNNNNNNNNNNNNNNNNNNNNNNNNNNNNNNNNNNNNNNNNNNNNNNNNNNNNNNNNNNNNNNNNNNNNNNNNNNNNNNNNNNNNNNNNNNNNCACCACCUAUGACCCAAAUCCUAGGAGACACAAUCCCAACUACCUCCCCCACCUGGCUACGGGGGCCGAAUAGACACCUCUGAUACUUUUGCCAUCUCUUCCACCUCCACCGCCGGUCGAGGAGCCGCUAGAAACCCCUUCUAGGUCCUCAGACCACAGGUAACCUCCAAUCCCAAAUCCUAAACUCUAACCAUCGAUUAUUUUGCCGUUCAAUUUUUAGUAGAAUUCGGUGACCGAUGGACAAACAAGAGUAAGGGCCCGUUUGGUUACUUUUGCUUAUUUUUAGCACGGGUCACAUCGAAUGUUUAGAUACUAAUUAGGAGUAUUAAACGUAGACUAUUUACAAAACUCAUUACAUAAGUGGAGGCUAAACGGCGAGACGAAUCUAUUAAGCCUAAUUAAGCCUAAUUAAUCCAUCAUUAGCAAAUAUUUAUUGUAGCAACACAUUGUCAAAUUAUGGACUAAUUAGACUUAAUAAAUUCGUCUCGCCGUUUAGCCUCCACUUAUGUAAUGGGUUUUGUAAAUAGUCUACAUUUAAUACUUCGAAUUAGUAUCUAAACAUUCGAUGUGACACGUGCUAAAAAUAAGCAAAAGUAACCAAACGGAGGAUAGGGACGAGAACUAUACGUUUGGAAGAACAGCUAGCUUUUCUCGGGGUCUGUGUUGGCAAUAUUUCACCUUGCCGAUGCGGGAGAACCAAUCCGGCUCGCUUGCGCCAGCAAGAAUCUGCUCGCCUGGCAAGGCAAGGCCAGGCAAAGCAGCAAAAGGGGCCGUUUGGAACCAUUACCGGGUACUAUUAAGCCUUGCUAAGCAAAGAUAGGGACGGAGGCUAUGUAUUUGGAAGAACAACUAGCUUAUCUUGGAGUCUGUGCUUAAGGUUUCUCCUUGCCAAUGUGGGAUAGCCAAUCCGGCUCGCUUGCGCCGGCAAGAAUUCGCUCGCCUGACAAGACAAGGCUGAGCAGCAAAACAACCGAACGGCCCCAAGUUGCUGCUGCUCUUGAGCUCCGGAUUUUUUUUUCUUUACACACCCUUCACUUGUCCCCUGAAUACCUUGCGGGAUGUAGUUUGUGUUUGGAUAUGAUGGUUUGAUCCAAAUAUCUAGGAUUUCCAAAGUUCACGACAUUUAUUUAUGGAAAAGUUGAAAUUUCUUGGGAAUUAUUUUGGGAGUAAUUAGCGGAACUCACUUGGAGAAUGCAGUGGCAGACUGGCAGUAAAGAUGUUGUUUUAGACAUGUCAGCUGGUACAUGUUUGUUCUGUAGUGAAGAUGAGCCUGACCCAACACCUAAAUUCUGAACGUGUGAAUAAUGGCUGGUGAUUGGCUUUGAUUUGUAAUCCCUCCCGUUCCUCCAGACCUCCACUACUCACGGCUGGGAACAUUGAAAUGGCUUCUCCCCUUGCGUGAGGGCACGCGAUCGGCUACAAGUCUACUAGUAUGCGCGUGACCGCAGCCGCAUGCCACUUGCUAGACUAGAACACAGGCGGCCACUAUUACACUAGGCCGUGCACACGGGGCGGCGGCGCGCCGGAAAGGAAGGUCGGAGAAAGGUAGCGCCGGCGCCGCGUGACCACCAUAUUCCUUGCAAUCCACGUGCUUCAAUUGGGUCAUGUGUUUCCCGGGAGACCGAAAGUAGUAUUGCAAGAAUUUGCAGUAUACUAUACGUCUAUACUACAGUACUGGUUGUUUAGCCAUCCCUUCCAAAUAUGGCACGCUGACAAAUACUCACUGCUCCAAACACAUAUUAUUUUUAGAUUUAACAUUUAACAUAAGUUGAACUUUUCAAGCUAAUGCAUCCAUUUUAAAAUGUAGCUAUAUUUAGAUUUGUCAUAAAUUAAAUUUUUUUUACCUUUGACUAAUAAUAUCUCUAAAAUAAUUAGUUUAAAAUAAAAAAAUACUUUUACAUUGACGGUCUUUAUGAAUUUCCUAUUAUUCAUAGUUAAUGUUAAGAAUGUUUGAUUUAGACAAACAUAAACGUAGCUAUAUUAUAAGACACAGAGAGUACCAAGCUUUUAGGAAAAAACACAACAUUCACAUCAUCAAAUUAGUUCAGUUAAAUCCACCCUAAAAUAUAUUUUGAUUGCAUUUAUUUAGUAUUAUAUAUAUAUAUUAAUAUAUUUUUAUAAAUUAGAGAAAUUUGACCGAGAAUGGAGUAGUUUGGUUACAUCGUGCUACAACAAACAAAAGAAAUACUAUUCCUCCGUUCUACGAUGUUAUUUUCUAUAACAAUCAGCCAAGUGGCUGAUGAACACAAUAGGAGAAGAAAACAACGGAGUAUCUAAAGUCAUGGUCACAAUGCGGCACUGGGCUAUCUUAUCUUACUAUUACUAAUUGGAGGUUCCUUUUGAAGCCUCCAGGUGAUGCCACCUAGGAUCCUAGGUGGACACUAAGAGAGAAAUUCUAGAAAUUCUCACAAAAAAUUAAAACAUCUAGCCAUCAAUUGGUAGGCUCAAAUCAUCAUAGCCAUUGGAUCUAUUAUAUUUUUAAAAAAUUACCCACCUAUGCCAUUAUGAAAAUAGCCUAAAGUAACCCCUAAAUCUAUAUCUAAAUUACCCACCUCUACCAUUAUAUAAAAUAAAUUAAAGCAACCCCCUAAUCUUUAUCAAAAUUAUCCACUUAUGCCAUUAUAAACAAUAUUUGAAAUAACCCCUAAUUUGCAACUAAAUUUCCCACCAGCUAAUACUUAAAAUAACUUAAAGUAACCCCUUAAAAUUGCAUCUAUAUUGCCCACAUAUGCCAUUAUUAAAAAUAACAUGAGGUAACCCUACAUUUGAAUCCAAAUCACAUUAAUUAAAAAUUUACAGUAAUAUAUAAUUCUAAAUCAUCUAUUUUUUUACACUAUUGGUAUAUGAUAUAAUAAUUAAGGUAUAUACACAAGAUAUUUGCCACCAUUUAUAAAGAUAUAGAGGAAGUGAUGAGAAUAUAGAUUUCUAUGUUAAAAUUAUAGCGCAAACUUAGGGUCCAUUAAACAAAUUCAAGUGCAUACAUGCGAUGCAAAGUGAAAAGUUAAAAAUUAUAAUCAUAGUUAUUGGUAAGUUACCCCACUAUCAUUAUUAAAAUAUUCAAAAAUAAACUCUAAACCUAUAUCUAAAUAACGGAGCUUAGCCAUUAUAAAAAAUAAUCUAAAGUAACCACAUAAUCUUCAUCCAAUUUACUCAUACAUACACCCUUCGUUUUCAUUUAUAAGCGCACAUGCAUAUUAAUAUUUAAACUUUGCAAUCUUUGACCAAUAAUUUAACUAUUAAUUUUUUUAUAAUGCAAAUUUUAUAUGAUUGGAUUCGUAAUCAAAUAUACUCUAAUGAUCAUAAGUUUAUUACCGUAAACAAUAUAAUAUAAGAUAAAUGAAUGAUUAAAGAAUUAUUUGGAAGACCGUGCCAAGUCAUACCAUGCCUUAUACACAUAGAUGGUUAAAAUGUCAUUCUAAAUUUGUAUCUAAGUGACCCACAUACGUCGUUAUAAAAAAAUAAUCUAAAGUAAAUACCUAAAUCUUAAUCUAAUUAUCUUCAUGUGCAUCAUAUAGAAAUAUUAAAAAGUAAACUAAUAUAUGAUUCUAAAUUACCUAUUUAUGUCAUUGUUAAUAUAGAAAUACUAAGUUUAAAGUAUAUAAGCAUGAUGAGUGCCACCAUGUAGACCAUUUAUACAUAUAUGUGAGGAAUUGAUGAAAAUAUUGAUUUUUAUGCUAAACCCAAUGUAUGGAGGUGUGAUAGAAAUGAAAAAGGUGUGAAUUUGGAUGAAAAAGUGUAUAGAGUAAUUACUAAUUAAAAAUCAAUCACAACUGGAUAAAGAUAAGUAUACAUCUAUAUAAGUAUUAAGUUGAAGUACUGAAAAAAUGAGAGAGCAGUAGGUAAACAAUUUUGAUUAUUAGCUAGAAGUUUAAUUUCUAAAUAUUUUUUAAAUAUUAUAGCUUCUAAAAAUAUUAGCCCGCGUUAAAACCCUAACCACGGAGAGGGCAUCGUUUACACGUUUGGAUGAAACAACGAAUUCGUCCAGACUCUUGGUGGAGUCUAGAAGAUCACGACUGAUCCUUCUCAAAGGUAAUGAAUGGAAAAAAUAGCAUCCGUACGCAACUAUUAUGGUAGGGACACACCUUUCUUCCUCCUAGCAGCAAGCUCUACUACGCAAUCGACAUGCGUCUCCUCAUCCUGCUGGUACUAGCACUACAUCUCUCCAGCCACCACACUCCCGCAAUCUCUGCAGCCAGAAGCACGGAGGCACUCUUCCCCGGCCAGUCCCUCGCCACCGGCGACAAGCUCGUCUCCGGCAACGGCAAGUUCGCGCUCGGCUUCUUCCAGCUCGCCGGCGCCGGCAGCACCACUGAUAGCCGCUGGUAUCUUGGCAUAUGGUUCAAUAAGAUCCCCAAUUUCACUCCCGUGUGGGUAGCAUACAGGGAGGAGCCAUUGACGGACCCAAGCUCAUCCGAGCUCUCCUUCUCCGAUGACGGCAACCUCGUCCUGUUCGACAGGGCCACCAACUCCACCAUCUGGUCCAGCCAAGCCAACGCGACGGCGACAACCAACGCCACCGUGCUCGUGCUCCUGGACACCGGGAACCUCGUCCUGCGCCGGCGCUCGGCCGCCGCCAACGCGUCAUCAUCCGGCGCGCUGUGGCAGAGCUUCGAUCACCCGACGGACACCCUCCUCCCCGACGCGACGAUCGGGCUCGACAGGGUCACCGGCCGCACCCGCCGCCUCGUCUCGAGGAAGAACAUGUUCGACCAGUCCCCGGGCGCGUACUCCAUGGAGCUCGGCCUCGCCGGCGUCGUCCGGCUGCUGUGGAACUCGUCCGUGCCGUACUGGUCCAGCGGGGACUGGGACGAGCGGUACCAGUACUUCAGCUCGGUGCCGGGGAUGACGGUGCGCCACCUGUUCGAAUUCACCUUCGUCGACGACGGCCGGGAGGUGUCCUUCGCGUACCACCUGCGCGAUGAGGCCGACACCGUGUACAGCUUCCUCGACGUGUCCGGGCAGAGGAAGGUCCUCCUCUGGCAUGAGAGUUCGCAGGAAUGGUGGACAAUCUACCCGCACCCGGAGCUCCAGUGCGACGUGCACGCCACCUGCGGACCCUUCGCGGUCUGCACCGACGGCGCGACCUCGCCGUGCAGCUGCAUGAGGGGAUUCUCCGUGGCGGCGCCUGAUGACUGGGAGCUCGGUGACAGAACGGCCGGGUGCAAGAGGGACAUUCCCCUGGAUUGCGGUGGCAGCGGCAGUAGUGUCGCCGGACUGGCAGACAGGUUCUACGCCGUGGCAGCCGUGAGCUUGCCGUAUGAUCGACGGAGCGUUGGAGGACACGUCGCAAGCGCAGCUGAAUGCGAGCAGGCUUGUCUGAGCACCUGCUCUUGUUCUGCUUAUUCCUUCGGUAGCAGCGGUUGCAAUGUGUGGCAUGGUGAGCUGUUUAAUGUGAAGCACCUGCAGUUUGCUGUUGCUGAUGCCGCCGCUGAUGACGGCGAAGUUCUUUACCUUCGCCUCGCUGCGAAGGAGUUUCAGACAAGGAAGAAGAACAGGGGGAUGGUCAUUGGAGUCGCCAUCGCAACUGGUAUUGCCGCUUUGAGUCUCGUAGCGCUCAUCUUGCUCCUGAUGGCGAUGGCAAGAAGGAACAGAAGGAAUUUUCACACGUUGAACAGUUUACACGGUGACAGUGGGCUGAUCGCGUUCAGAUACAGAGAUCUCCAGAGAGCGACUAGGGAUUUUUCAGACAAGAUUGGAGCCGGGGGGUUCGGUUCCGUGUUCAAGGGAUCGUUAGACAAUUCCACGACCAUCGCCGUCAAGAGGCUCAACGGCUCCUACCGAGUGGAGAAGCAGUUCAGGGCGGAGGUGAGCUCCAUCGGCAUCCUCCAGCACACAAACCUGGUCAGGAUGGCCGGCUUCUGCUGCGAGCGCGGCAGGAGGCUGCUGGUCUACGAGCACAUGCCCAACCUCUCCCUCGACGUCCACCUCUUCCGGAGCGACGCCGCCGCCGCCGCCCUGAGCUGGAGCACCAGGUACCGGAUCGCGGUCGGCGUCGCGCGGGGCCUGGCGUACCUGCACGAGAGCUGCCGGGACUGCGUCAUCCACUGCGACGUCAAGCCGCAGAACAUACUCCUCGACGGAUCGUUCGGGCCGAAGAUCGCCGACUUCGGGAUGGCGAAGCUCAUGGCGAGGGAUUUGAGCCGGGUGCUGACCACGGCCAGGGGAACCGUCGGGUACCUCGCGCCGGAGUGGAUCGGCGGGAUGGCCAUCACGCCCAAGGUCGACGUGUACGCCUACGGGAUGGUGCUGCUGGAGAUCGUGUCCGGGAGGAUGAACUCGCAGGAGGAGUGCGGCGGCGGCGGCGGUGGGGACGACGACGACGAUGUUGUCUACUUCCCGGUCCUGGCCGCGCGAAAGCUUCUGGAGGGGGAUGUGAUGAGCCUCGUGGAUCGAAGGCUGCGCGGCGACGCCGUCGUCGAGGAGGUGGAGAGGGCGUGCAAGGUGGCCUGCUGGUGCAUUCAGGACAGCGAAGUUGAUCGGCCGACGAUGGGGAAGGUGGUCCAGAUUCUCGAAGGUCUGGUUGAGGUCGAGAUGCCUCCGGUGCCGAGGUUGCUCACGGCUAUCGCGGGGAGAUCCCAUUCGGCCUGCACGUAGCCGUCUUCGUUGUCCAAGCGCGCGCGAUCGUAAUGGUAGCCAAAAUGUAAAAAAGGUUCAUGUACUCGUGCUACAUUUCAAAAUGCAAGUUAUUAUUUUAGUUUUGUCCUUAGUUAAUUUUUUAAAAACUUUAAUCAAGUAGUUGAAAAUGUUGAUGUGGAGAGGCUACAAGCUGAGUCGAUUCUUAGAAAUUGAGUUUAUUUGUUGUACACAUAUAUUGACGAUCAAAAUUGUCAAAAACUAGAGAAUUCAAAAAUUCUUUUACAGUACACAAUACUAUCCUAUACUGGUGUUCAAAAAUGACUAGUAAAAAAA
rnacentral:lncRNA from 1 species